rnacentral:rRNA from 1 species
UACGUAGGGCGCAAGCGUUGUCCGGAAUUAUUGGGCGUAAAGAGCUCGUAGGCGGCUUUGCAAGUCGGGUGUGAAAUCCCUCAGCUCAACUGAGGAAGUGCGCCCGAAACUGCAGAGCUCGAGUACCGGAGAGGAUGGCGGAAUUCCCGAAGUAGAGGUGAAAUUCGUAGAUAUCGGGAGGAACACCGGUGGCGAAGGCGGCCAUCUGGACGGAUACUGACGCUGAGACGCGAAAGCGUGGGGAGCAAACAGG